UUUUUCUUUUUAUUACCUUUUUAUUAUACCUUUAUAUUUAAAAAUGCUUUACAAAAAAAAAUUCUAAAUGUUUAUCAGUUAUACUUACAGUGAUUAAGUUUCUAUAUUCUACAAUAGUUGACUGUAUGUCGGGUUGUAUACAUUAUUUGACACUCAUUACUAUUGGCCAAAAAGUUAGCCAAUAGUAGCAUGACCACAAGCACGAGGGAAUUGUGCCCCAAUAGCCAUAUCCUAUAACUAAUAUAAUUUAUACACUACUAUUAUAAAUUAUUAAAAGAAAUAUUAAUGAUUGAAAUAAAUCUAAAUGGUGUGUAUAUAGAAUGAGCUUUAUUAACCCUUAUUAAGUGUCACUAGUUGAGAGAAUGAUCAACAGUGAUAGGACCAGAAGUCACUAGUUGAAAGAAUGAUCAACAAUGAUAUCACCACAAUUACUAGUUGAGAUAAUGAUGAACCGUAAUAUGACCCGAGUCACUAGUUGAAAGAACGAUCAAUAGUGAUAUGACCACAAUUACUAGUUGAGAGAAUGAUCAACAGUAAUAUGACCCGAGUCACUAGUUGAGAGAAUGAUCAACAGUGAUACGACACCAGUCACUAGUUGAAAGAACGAGCAACAGUGAUUUGACCACCGUCACAGGAAUCGCCUAGUGACCGUUAUAAUAGUAAGAUAUACUAUAUAUCUAUUACUUGAUAAACUUCACUACUGGACGAAAGUGAGCUAAUGAGUAAUAUGACCACCGUCACAUCGGAACUGCCACCAUAUUGCCCGAAACUGACGAAAGCACUCGACAACAAGACAAAAACAACAGAAGGAGCUAAGAAGAACGCGCGAGCAUUCGUACUUACUACACAAUAAGCAGAAAUGAUUCCGGACGUAAUCGCUGAUAUCUAAUCUCUCAGUUAAGUUAUUAUUUGACCGUAGUAUAAAUAAAAGUUUAUAAAUAAAUUCAUCAUGUCAAGUACUUCAUCUAUUCAAAACCAUAACAGACUUGUUGGGUCUUCCCUUUCAUUGAAUCCUAUUUUUGGUUACGACACCUUAUAA
rnacentral:lncRNA from 1 species